rnacentral:rRNA from 1 species
AUUGAACGCUGGCGGCAGGCCUAACACAUGCAAGUCGAGCGGGGUUUUCGGACCUAGCGGCGGACGGGUGAGUAAUGCGUAGGAAGCUACCCGAUAGAGGGGGAUACCAGUUGGAAACGACUGUUAAUACCGCAUAAUGUCUACGGACCAAAGUGUGGGACCUUCGGGCCACAUGCUAUCGGAUGCGCCUACGUGGGAUUAGCUAGUUGGUGAGGUAAUGGCUCACCAAGGCGACGAUCUCUAGCUGGUUUGAGAGGAUGAUCAGCCACACUGGAACUGAGACACGGUCCAGACUCUACGGGAGCAGCAGUGGGGGAAUAUUGGACAAUGGG